UACGUAGGGGGCUAGCGUUGUCCGGAUUUAUUGGGCGUAAAGAGCGUGUAGGCGGCCAUGUAGGUCUGCUGUGAAAACUCGAGGCUCAACCCCGAGACGUCGGCGGAAACCAUCUGGCUAGAGUCCGGAAGAGGAGAGUGGAAUUCCUGGUGUAGCGGUGAAAUGCGCAGAUAUCAGGAAGAACACCCGUGGCGAAGGCGGCUCUCUGGGACGGUACUGACGCUGAGACGCGAAAGCGUGGGGAGCGAACAGG
rnacentral:rRNA from 1 species